GAUGAACGCUAGCUACAGGCUUAACACAUGCAAGUCGAGGGACCGGCGCACGGGUGAGUAACACGUAUCCAACCUGCCCUUUACUCGGGGAUAGCCUUUCGAAAGACAGAUUAAUACCCGAUAUAAAGGAUGGGGAUGCGUUCCAUUAGGUUGUUGGUGAGGUAACGGCACACCAAGCCUUCGAUGGAUAGGGGUUCGGAGGGGAAGGUCACCCGCAUUGGAACUGAGACACGGUCCAAAAUCGUAGGGGAGGCAGCAGUGAGGAAUACUGGGCAAGGAGGGCUAGCCUGAACCAGCCAAGUAGCUGAAAGGAUGAAGGCGUAUGAGUCUUAAACUUCUUGUAUAGAAGAAGAGGUAUUAUAUGAAGAAGGAUCGGCUAACUCCGUGCCAGCAGCCGCGGUAAUUC
rnacentral:rRNA from 1 species